CGGGCCCAAGCUCCCAGGUCGAGAUUGGCGCCGACCCGGAUCGUCCUGUCCGGGCGACCUUCCUCGAGGGGAACUUCGAUCACACCCUCGGCCGGCUCCCCGUGCCGCAAGGCCACCUCGUCUCUGGCGUCGAGGGACUCGACGCUUAAGGCUUCUACGGGCUUCUUCCCUUUGAGAGUUGUUAGGAAACAUUGUCUUGCGGUCGGUUGGUCACCUCGGACCUCUCCAAUCCCGGCCGCCGUGGGGAACCGCAUGAGCAAGUGGUACGUAGAGACCACCGCGCGAAGGGCGUUCAGUCCGGGUCGUCCGAGGAUAGCGUUGUAGGCCGAGGGAACACGGACGACCAAGAACCCGAGCCGCACCGUGGCUUCUGCGGGUGCAACGCCCGCAGUCACGGGCAGCUCAACGACACCUUCGGCCGAGAUAGCAUCACCAGUGAAUCCUAUGAGGGGGGUGGAUGUUUUGUGCAACAAUUGUCUGGACAA
rnacentral:lncRNA from 1 species